rnacentral:piRNA from 1 species
CUCACUUAGAAUGGAGGCCGAGGG